GACGAACGCUGGCGGCGUGCUUAACACAUGCCAGUCGAACGGAAAGGCCCUGCUUUUGUGGGGUGCUCGAGUGGCGAACGGGUGAGUAACACGUGAGUAACCUGCCCUUGACUUUGGGAUAACUUCUGGAAACUGGGGCUAAUACCGGAUAGGAGCUCCUGCUGCAUGGUGGGGGUUGGAAAGUUUCGGCGGUUGGGGAUGGACUCGCGGCUUAUCAGCUUGUUGGUGGGGUAGUGGCGUACCAAGGCUUUGACGGGUAGCCGGCCUGAGAGGGUGACCGGCCACAUUGGGACUGAGAUACGGCCCAGACUCCUACGGGAGGCAGCAGUGGGGAAUAUUGCACAAUGGGCGGAAGCCUGAUGCAGCAACGCCGCGUGCGGGAUGACGGCCUUCGGGUUGUAAACCGCUUUCGCCUGUGACGAAGCGUGAGUGACGGUAAUGGGUAAAGAAGCACCGGCUAACUACGUG
rnacentral:rRNA from 1 species